rnacentral:rRNA from 1 species
UACGAAGGGUGCUAGCGUUGUUCGGAAUUACUGGGCGUAAAGCGCGCGUAGGCGGUCAUUCAAGUCAGGGGUGAAAUCCUUGGGCUCAACCCAAGAAUUGCCUUUGAAACUGUAUGACUAGAGUGUCGGAGGGGAUAGCGGAAUUCCUAAUGUAGAGGUGAAAUUCGUAGAUAUUAGGAGGAACACCGGUGGCGAAGGCGGCUAUCUGGACGACAACUGACGCUGAGGCGCGAAAGCACGGGGAUCAAACAGG